rnacentral:rRNA from 1 species
UGGGGAAUUUAGGACAAUGGGCGAAAGCCUGAUCCAGCAAUGCCGCGUGUGUGAAGAAGGCCUUCGGGUUGUAAAGCACUUUUGUCCGGAAAGAAAUGGCUCUGGUUAAUACCUGGGGUCGAUGACGGUACCGGAAGAAUAAGGACCGGCUAACUACGUGCCAGCAGCCGCGGUAAUACGUAGGGUCCAAGCGUUAAUCGGAAUUACUGGGCGUAAAGCGUGCGCAGGCGGUUGUGCAAGACCGAUGUGAAAUCCCCGGGCUUAACUUGGGAAUUGCAUUGGUGACUGCACGGCUAGAGUGUGUCAGAGGGGGGUAGAAUUCCACGUGUAGCAGUGAAAUGCGUAGAGAUGUGGAGGAAUACCGAUGGCGAAGGCAGCCCCCUGGGAUAACACUGACGCUCAGGCACGAAAGCGUGGGGAGCAAACAGG